GAUGAACGCUGGCGGCGUGCCUAAUACAUGCAAGUAGAACGCUGAAGGAGGAGCUUGCUCUUCUGGAUGAGUUGCGAACGGGUGAGUAACGCGUAGGUAACCUGCCUGGUAGCGGGGGAUAACUAUUGGAAACGAUAGCUAAUACCGCAUGACAACAGUUAUUGCAUGAUAACUGUUUAAAAGGGGCAACUGCUCCACUACCAGAUGGACCUGCGUUGUAUUAGCUAGUUGGUGAGGUAACGGCUCACCAAGGCGACGAUACAUAGCCGACCUGAGAGGGGGCUCGGCCACACUGGGACUGGGACACGGCCCAGACUCCUACGGGAGGCAGCAGUAGGGAAUCUUCGGCAAUGGACGGAAGUCUGACCGAGCAACGCCGCGUGAGCGAAGAAGGUUGUCGGAUCGUAAAGCUCUGUUGUAAGAGAAGAACGAGUGUGAGAGUGGAAAGUUCACACUGUGACGGUAUCUUACCAGAAAGAGACGGCUAACUACGUG
rnacentral:rRNA from 1 species